AAUAUUGCACAAUGGGCGCAAGCCUGAUGCAGCAACGCCGCGUGAGGGAUGACGGCCUUCGGGUUGUAAACCUCUUUUAGCAGGGAAGAAGCGAAAGUGACGGUACCUGCAGAAAAAGCGCCGGCUAACUACGUGCCAGCAGCCGCG
rnacentral:rRNA from 1 species